ACUGCCUGAUGGAGGGGGAUAACUACUGGAAACGGUAGCUAAUACCGCAUAACGUCGCAAGACCAAAGAGGGGGCUUCGGCCUCUUGCCAUCGGAUGUGCCCAGAUGGGAUUAGCUAGUAGGUGGGGUAACGGCUCACCUAGGCGACGAUCCCUAGCUGGUCUGAGAGGAUGACCAGCCACACUGGAACUGAGACACGGUCCAGACUCCUACGGGAGGCAGCAGUGGGGAAUAUUGCACAAUGGGCGCAAGCCUGAUGCAGCCAUGCCGCGUGUUGAAGAAGGCCUUCGGGUUGUAAAGACUUUCAGCGGGGAGGAAGGGUUAAUAACGAUUGACGUUACCCGCAGAAGAAGCACCGGCUAACUCCGUGCCAGCAGCCGCGGUAAUACGGAGGGUGCAAGCGUUAAUCGGAAUUACUGGGCGUAAAGCGCACGCAGGCGGUCUGUCAAGUCGGAUGUGAAAUCCCCGGGCUCAACCUGGGAACUGCAUUCGAAACUGGCAGGCUAGAGUCUUGUAGAGGGGGGUAGAAUUCCAGGUGUAGCGGUGAAAUGCGUAGAGAUCUGGAGGAAUACCGGUGGCGAAGGCGGCCCCCUGGACAAAACUGACGCUCAGGUGCGAAAGCGUGGGGAGCAAACAGGAUUAGAUACCCUGGUAGUCCACGCCGUAAACGAUGUCGACUUGGAGGUUGUGCCCUUGAGGCGUGGCUUCCGGAGCUAACGCGUUAAGUCGACCGCCUGGGGAGUACGGCCGCAAGGUUAAAACUCAAAUGAAUUGACGGGGGCCCGCACAAGCGGUGGAGCAUGUGGUUUAAUUCGAUGCAACGCGAAGAACCUUACCUACUCUUGACAUCCAGAGAAUCAGAGAUGGUGCCUUCGGGACUCUGAGACAGGUGCUGCAUGGCUGUCGUCAGCUCGUGUUGUGAAAUGUUGGGUUAAGUCCCGCAACGAGCGCAACCCUUAUCCUUUGUUGCCAGCGUUAGGCCGGGAACUCAAAGGAGACUGCCAGUGAUAAACUGGAGGAAGGUGGGGAGACGUCAAGUCAUCAUGGCCCUUACGAGUAGGGCUACACACGUGCUACAAUGGCGCAUACAAAGAGAA
rnacentral:rRNA from 2 species